UUCAGUUUUUCACCUAUUGACAAAGUUUGUUCAAAAAUUGGGAUGCAAAGCGAAUUAUUGCACAGCCUAAAAUACUUCUCUUUUCCCUACAAAAUCCAGUUGCUGGAUUUCACCCAUUCAACAAUGGAAGAAGCUGGACUACUUUGUCAGAGUGUACAAGAUCCUGGAUACAAGAGAGAAGUUACAAGACACACUGAGAAGAAAGAUAGUCAUCUGCUAAAUGGACAUGCAAAAAAUUGAAAAAAUGUAAUUAUGAUAAAUCUAUAUUAAACAAUACUGUAGAUUGAAAUUGAAAA